CUAAUACUCCCUCCGUUCCAAAAUNNNNNUCUUAGAUUUGUCUAGAUAUAAAUGUAUCUAGUCACAUUUUAGUAUUUAGAAACAUCUAUUUGUAAACAAACCUAAUACAAGAAUUUUGGGAUGGAGGAAGUACUUU
rfam:Hordeum vulgare subsp. vulgare, WGS project CAJW01000000 data, contig: morex_contig_2548771